rnacentral:rRNA from 1 species
UGGGGAAUUUUGGACAAUGGGCGAAAGCCUGAUCCAGCAAUGCCGCGUGUGUGAAGAAGGCCUUCGGGUUGUAAAGCACUUUUGUCCGGAAAGAAAUCCUUGGCUCUAAUACAGUCGGGGGAUGACGGUACCGGAAGAAUAAGCACCGGCUAACUACGUGCCAGCAGCCGCGGUAAUACGUAGGGUGCAAGCGUUAAUCGGAAUUACUGGGCGUAAAGCGUGCGCAGGCGGUUUGCUAAGACCGAUGUGAAAUCCCCGGGCUCAACCUGGGAACUGCAUUGGUGACUGGCAGGCUAGAGUAUGGCAGAGGGGGGUAGAAUUCCACGUGUAGCAGUGGAAUGCGUAGAGAUGUGGAGGAAUACCGAUGGCGAAGGCAGCCCCCUGGGCCAAUACUGACGCUCAUGCACGAAAGCGUGGGGAGCAAACAGGAUUAGAUACCCUGGUAGUCCACGCCCUAAACGAUGUCAACUAGUUGUUGGGGAUUCAUUUCCUUAGUAACGUAGCUAACGCGUGAAGUUGACCGCCUGGGGAGUACGGUCGCAAGAUUAAAACUUAAAUGAAUUGAC